CCUACGGGGGGCUGCAGUCAAGAAUCUUCCUCAAUGGACGAAAGUCUGAAGGAGCAAUGCCGCGUGAUCGAUGAAGCUUUUCGGAGUGUAAAGAUCUUUUAUCAGGGACGAAUUCGUGACGGUACCUGAUGAAUAAGUCACUGCUAACUACGUGCCAGCAGCAGCGGUAAUACGUAGGUGGCGAGCGUUACCCGGAUUGAUUGGGCGUAAAGGGUCCGCAGGUGGCUCUAAAAGUCCUUGGUCAAAUCUUGAGGCUCAACUUCAAGACUGCCAAAGAUACUCUAGAGCUAGAGGCCGGGAGAGGCAAGCAGAAUUGUCGGUGUAGUAGUAAAAUGCGUUGAUAUCGAUAGGAAUACCAAAAGCGAAGGCAGCUUGCUAGAACGGUUCUGACACUCAGGGACGAAAGCGUGGGUAGCGAAUGGGAUUAGAUACCCUGGUAGUC
rnacentral:rRNA from 1 species